rnacentral:lncRNA from 1 species
AUGAAAACGCUGAGCUAUUUGAAGCUGAAAAGAUGGAGAAAAUGAUUCAGAUUCACAGAGAAACCAAUCUCCUGCUUGCAAUUUUAUGCCUAGGCAAACUCAAUCAAAUAUAAAUGGAAAAUGAAGAAUAACAACAAGUUCAUACCUGUUGACUGCCAAAACCACAUCUUCAAGCCCUUGCUCAGAUGGUAACUAAUGCUUUUCAGUUUCCCUGUGAAAUAUGGAGACAUGUAAGCCAGAGAAUUUGACUUCAACUGAGGAAGAGAAAAUGGAAUUCUUAGACUGUUGGAAACGAUUUUGGAUCAACAGAUUUGUAGGUUGAUUUGCAGGUUGAGAUUUCAGUUGGUUUCGCCAUCCCUCCACUCGGACAUUCUAUCUAACUACUGAAGCAUUUUUUACUACCUUGUCCUUGCUAAAUGUGCUGGGUUAACCCCAGGGAUAUGCUUUCUUGAACCUCCCCAGAACCUGGAAAACAAAUACAUUCAACUCAUAUCUGACUUUUUAUUUUUAAUAUAGCUUCUGAGAUCUAAAAUUUGCUCCUCAUGCUUGAAAGGCAAGCAUUUAUGACUGCGUUGCCACUCCAGCCCCAAUUUGUAUCUUAAAGUUGUAAAAUCUAAUUUUGAAGAAAUCAGAAAGACAUUGUCUACUGAGUAGCUCCCCUCAGGAUGAUUUUUUCCCCCUGCUGGCUCCCUUUUUCUUCAUUAUUUUAAUGGCUACAUCUUUGCUCUGAUGUGUCAAUGGAAGUGGAAAAUCCAGUGAAGCCAGAGCUUAGAGAAACGCCAGCUGGAACAGAAGGAUAAAGUUUCUUUGGAGAAGCUUCAAAGAGAUGCGGGCUGGGUGAUUGAAAACUUGUUGCUCUUCAGGAUCAUAUCAUGACAUCUAAGCUACAUAGAAGGUAGGAGGAACAGAAACGAGGGAAAACACAAAGAACAACUAUCUCUCAGCUGGAGAAUGAUUUUUCUCUGUGACUUUGAGCAAACUUCUGUAUUUCCUUUUAUUCUUGGUAUUUAAAAUUGGAAUUAAACUCCUUUUGCAACUUA